GGUUGAAUGGUGUAACGGUAGCACAUAGGAUUUUGAUUCCUGUAACCUGGGUUCGACUCCCAGUUCGACCU